AACGUAGUGUCCUCGGUGCUUGUCAAAAAUGCAAAUCCCCAAUCUCCAGGCCAGUUUCACUAAAUUAGAAACCCUGGGGGUGGGCUCAGCCUGGGCAUGCUCCCUAAGUGCCCAGGUGAGUGAGCCGAUCAGGUUCCACACAGCUAGAAAUGGUUAAAGGCUCUCCAAUGGCCUCUCAAUUGAUUAGUUUCCUUCAGCCUAAUUUGCAGCCAUCUUAGCCAAGCCUUCAUAUUUCUUCCCUUUUCAACCUGGUCCCUCAUUUUCCAACUGGAGAAGUCUCUUCUCAAUCGCCUAGGCAACGGAGACAAGAGCUAGGACGCUGUCGCACGGCCUAGCUUCUGUCAGAGAAGUGGAAGAGCUUUCUUGUAUGCCUUACUAUGAAGAAAUGGCGAAUGGGAGAAAGUAGGUGAUAACUGCACAACUACGUAGUGACAGAUUUGGGACUGAAGCCAAGUUUCCUGCUUCAUUAUUCCAGUGUGCUUUCUUCUGCAUUGAGGUGAUGAAUUUUAAAGACCAACCACAGAACCUAGAAGAGUAGAACGGAAAUUUCUCCUCCCCUGCAGUAUUGUUGGGCCUGUUGACCUCACUGUCACAACCUCAUCGAGUAUGACAUUCAAAAGAGCGAAGUGUACCAGAAGCACAAGAAAGAUGAUCAGAGAAUUAAGAAAAAGAAGAAAAUACCGAAUGAGAUUAAGAAGGAAAAUUUGGGACAAAACCUGGAGGUGUCCUUCACACCAACACCCCCCUCAUCCAAUGUAUCACAGUGGACUAUAUAUCUAUUUAACCCCAAAAGGUGUCUUGAACUGAUCGAUUUUCUCCCACGCUUUUACUGCCUUCUUGCUUUAGUCUAAUCCGUCAUCAUCUCUCCAUGUAUAUCUGGAAGAACUUCCUAAUUGCUCUCCCUCCUUUUACUUUUAUCCCCCUGCAAUCCAUUCCGCACACCAGUAAUUGCAGUGAUUUAUUUAAAAUGCAAAUAGGAUCAUGUAGUUUCCUUACUUAUCAUCUUUCAAGGGCUCCUUACUGCACUUAGGAUAAAAUAUAGACCCAUAACCUUGCCUUUGGGGCUCUGCAGAUUGCUGCCCCUGCCUCUACCGCCAGCCUCAUCUUGCACCAUCUCUUGUUCCUCACAGCCAGCAGGCACUACUGCCCUCCUUUCAACCGCAAGCACAGUAGCACUGAGCUCUUCACUGAAUCAGGACUGCUACUCACGCUGUUAUUCUGCCUGGAAUGCUUUUUACUCAACUUGUCCUUCAGGUUUAUUAUGCUGAUGUACAUACCUUGGCGGCUGAAUGUCUGGGGGCCAGAUGAUUGAAAGAGCACAAUAUGAGAACUAAGAUUCUAGAGGCUGGAAUGUGCAUGUCAUUUUGAUUGUAUGUGAUGUAUACCUGUACAUAUGGGAUGGCAUCCCCUUGAGUUUUAGAACAGUACUGAUUUCAUGUCACUUCAUUUUUUUAAAGAAAGUUAGUUCUCUAAAUGCAAAAUCACCUGUGAUUUAAAUUUCCUGCUUUCUGAACUCAUUCAGUAUAUAACAAUUCACAUAUCAGUUUUUUAAAAAGGUAAAAAAGCUCUUAUCCUACCCUGGGCUUCCAUUUUUGUUUCAGAACGUGGACAUGUUGUUUGUGCCAACAAAAGGGAAUUCAAGGAGCCAGAUUAGAAAGGUCAUUAAGAACAGACUAGAGCAAGAAGCUCAGUUUCCAGCCCUCCACUGGAGUGAGGUCUAGUCUCCAGACAGAGAGAGAGAGAAGAAAGAAGGAGGACGAGGGAGAAGGAGUGGGCAUAACAGGCAAGUUCACUAGCAGAAAUAAUGUGCCUUGGAGGAGAGCAGCCUUCGAAUGUCUGAUAAGAGGUGACCGCUUAUUAGCUGUUUGAUCCUAGACAUGUCAGUUAAUCUUUCUGGAUCUCAGUUCCUUUUCCUUGUAGAUGAAAGGACGAAACCCCAUUAGAAAUACUUGCCUGCUCUAUGAUCCUUUGAUUCUUGUUUUCUCUAUAAUGGUGGAAGCACGAGAAAGAGUAUAUCUGAGCAAAAGGGAUAGGAAAAAGAUGAUUAAUUGUGACAGAAUAGAAAGACGAAGAAGAAAGGCAUGGAUGGUAGCUAUGAAGGGAAAGUAUAUGAGAAAAUAAAGAUUCAGAUCUUUUUCCUUGCCCAGCUUAUUUAUUUAACAGAUAUUUAUUAGUACUUAACGUAGCAUUGACGAUGUGCCAGCUAUUGUUCUAAGGGCUUUACAAAAGUGAACUCAUUUGAUACUUGGGAGGUAAGUACUGCUGUUAGAUCUUAUAGCUGAGGAAACUGAGGCACUGAGAGGUCAAGAAACCUAACCCAAGUCAUAUAACUAGUAAGGGCCACGUCACACCCAGGCAGUCUGGCUCCAGGGUCCAGGCUGUUAUAAUGCUUAUUUUCCUGUUAGAAUUUACCAUGCAUUUUCCUCAAUGAAAAUCUCUACAUCAAAGACGAAAACUUAUUGAACUGUAACAAAAAUAAUAAAUCACUCCAGACGUAUUUAGGCUAACACAUACCCUAUUUGUUUCUGUGUAAUUACACUUUCUCAAGAGCCUGCCACAUUUGGCAUCACUGUUUUCUUACGAACUCUUCAAGCAAGACUAAUGCAAAAUGGAGAGGAUUGUUCUUUGUUCAGCUGCAAACCAGGUGGCACAAAGCACAGAGAAGAAAGCCAGGCUCCGGAGAACGUGUGAAGGGAACCAACCGACAAAUGAAAACUCACGCAGAGCUUGCCUUUAAUCAGGAAACAUUUUCAUUCAAACGCUUGCAAACUUUAAAAAUUUUUAAGUUUAUAUUCUAUAAUCUUUCUACCACUCUAUUGGAAAAAAAAGCUCCAAAAAGGAAGAUUAUUAAAAUAAAACAAAAUAGUUUGGUUUUGUCAUUUGGAAACAUUUCAAGCUCAAGAUCUAU
ensembl:lncRNA